GCCUCGGACUCCCCCCAGCGCGAGGGUGUUUGAACAGCGCCGCCAACUCGCGCCCAACGGUCACUUCCCCGACCCGUCCCAACCAAGUCUGGGACGGAGAGGGGGGGAAGCACGGGGCGAGAGUCGAGCCAUUCAGUUUUUGUUGUUCGAAGGGAAAGAAGUGAAGAAGCCGACGAGAUGAAGGAUAAUCCAAAAACGGCGGGUGGAGGGGAACCGCCCUCGGGUGGGUGAAGGCCCACAGCUGCUGACUGCUGAUGCAAGAUGACAUGUUUGGAUGUUCCCACAUAUAAGCAGAGGCCUAGAUACUGGGAAGGAGUGAUGGGCUGCUAGGGCUUUGACCAGCACUCCAAAAACAAUUCAUGCCAUGAGAAUAAUGAAAAAGCUGGCAAUGGCUGUUUGCGUAUACAGAUGUAUAUAGCAUGCAAGCAUACCAAGCAGGCGACAGAGGUAGACCUGGAAUGCAGGUAUCUCUUGGCUGUGUUUCCUGCCUACCUUGAUUCAUUUUCAAAGGCAAUGUUAUAAGACCCUGAUCUGUAAAUCAAGUGAAACAGGCACAUGCAUUAAAAAGCACCUUCGAUUUUCAGGUGGAUCGCUUCCACUUUCUGUGUCACAUUAACGACUCAUGAAUGAUGAUAGAAGCUAAAAGGCAUUCUUAGAAUCGUUUGUGGAAAUGCUCUUUGUUCUCUCUCUCACACAGAGAAUUAAAUAUACCCCUCGCGGCCUGCUUCUUUCAUUUUCUGUAUGUUACAAGUUUGGAGUCCCUUGUUCUGUUUUACAUGAUUCUUCAGAAGGCAGUACACCCACAGUUUCUGUCCCCAUUAAUAUAGGAUAUGCUCUCCAUUAGAUUCACCUAUGGGGGUGGACUCAUUUGUGCUUUACAGCUGGGCUGCUUUUCAGCUUCUGAUAGAUUCCUAAACAUGCGUGAUUAGUGGCAAGCUUUGGGACUGCCAGAGAUUAAAUAUGCCAUAAAAUGGAAGGCAUUAUUAUUUUAUCAAACAUCCUGAAGCACUGGUGAACAUUACUUUUCCGACAUGUGAGUAGGGAGAUGGAUGAGAAGAUAUUAACUAAUCUUUGCAUCCCUCGUCUUAAUGGAUUUGUUGGAGGGAGUCUGUCUGAUAUUAAUAUUGUGUCUUCAGAUAUCUUAGCUGAUGGAGCAUGUAGGUCUGUGUUUGCAUGUUUGCUUUUUUCCCCAGCAAUAAAGGAAGCAGUCUUUUUCAAUUGACCUUGGUCUCUUAAAAAGAACUCAGUGCAUUUUUACCCUGUGCGCUUCUAAAAAAUGGUGAAGUUAAAAAUUCAUACCAGCAUUUUAUAUCUCCUUUCCUCUUUAUGGCUGAGCCUGAGAUGUCAAAAAAGGGUAUGGGAAAAACCGAAUGUAUAAAUAAAUAACAUUUAUUCUGGAUAAUAUGUGAGAUGUCUUAAAAAUACCGAAUUUAUCUGUUUAUGCUGUGGAAGAAUAUUGAAUAUUGUACACUGCUGAUCACUCCCCAGAGAUUUGAUUUCAUCCUGCAGAUUUCAAAUGAACAUAUGUAGAGACAUGAAUUCUGUGUUUGUGGACGAAAACAAAACAAGCUACCCACUAUUCAAUUCAUCUUUUGAAUUAUCAUGAUAAAACCUACAAAAAAACCUAUAAAAGGCUGUCAGUGCACUCCAAAAUCCCUGGCAUUGAAUGAGAAUGUAACUGAAUUGCUAUUAGUUGAAGAUUUUUGUUAUUCGGUAUAUUGUUUAUACUUGCUGUAAGCCAUGUUGGCAAGCCAAUGCCUUUACAAGCAGCCGUACAAAACAAAAUUGCCCGUUCUUGAUCCAAUUUCUGACUCACCUUGAAAGGUAACAUAGAGUCAACCUGGCAAGACCCAUAAAUAGCUGAGACAGAUAUUUCUGUAAUAUAUGAAGAAGGUAAAAUGUGGCAUGUAUGUAGCCCAAGAUUAUAAGAAAAGGACUGAAAGUGGGACAUUUUUAUGACAUCCAGUCAGAACAUCAUGUUUAUUUGUAAUAAAAGUCAGCACUCCCACACAGAACAAACUGAGCCAUGUGUAGAGCUGGAUGUUUGAAUUUGGUUGUCUCUGGCUUAUUUGAAGUAGGGCUUGCAAGCCUCCAGGUAGGACCUGGAGAUCUUCCAGAAUUAUGACUGGCUGCCAAACUGCUCGCAUUUGUUCCUGUGGAGAAAAUGCCUGCUUUGUAGGGUGAACUCUGUGGCAGUAAAAUUCACUGAAGUCUUUUCCCUCCCCAAACCUACUCUUCCCAGACUCCACCCCUCAAAUCUCCAGGAAUUUCUCAACCUGAAGAUGGCAACCCAAGGGAGAGGGCGUCUCUAGAACUGGCCAAGAAUUUACAUCUGCUUGUAAAAUGCCAGUUGAGCCUCUAUAUAUUUCUUAACUUCCUCUUAGCUGAAUAAGACUAUAUUGAGUACUGUUUUAAUGUUUACAGUCCUUAUACAUUUAGAUGACAUUAAGCACCUUAGGUAGGAUUUCAUGUACACACAAUGGUUAUUAAACCCUUCUCUUUCACUGCUAGGGAUACAGUGUAGCAUGUCAUAGCAAGAUCUAAGCUUUAAGUGCUCUGACUUUUCCUGAACAAAAUGGCACGGUGUUUCUGAUCCUACAGAUCCUGAAAUGAAUAAUUGUGAAAUGGGGGUGGAGUAAUUUUAUGGGGACUAUCCAUGUGCAUAAUGGGUAUUUGUAUAUGGGAAACUCUACAGUUUGAGUAUUAAAAUUGUAUAAUCCAUC